GACGUAGGGGGCAAGCGUUGUCCGGAAUUAUUGGGCGUAAAGCGCUCGUAGGCGGAUCGGUAAGUCUGUGAAGAAAGACCCGGGCUCAACUCGGGGAACGGCAUAGAUACUGCUGAUCUUGAGACAGUCAGAGGAUGAUGGAAUUCCAGGUGUAGCGGUGAAAUGCGUAGAUAUCUGGAAGAACACCCGUGGCGAAGGCGGCUCUCUGGAACGCAACUGACGCUGAGACGCGAAAGCGUGGGGAGCAAACAGG
rnacentral:rRNA from 1 species